AUUGAACGCUGGCGGCAUGCCUUACACAUGCAAGUCGAACGGAUUAUAGGGCUUUCGGUUUUUAUAGUUAGUGGCGGACGGGUGAGUAACGCGUGGGAACCUGCCCUAUAGUGCGGGAUAACUGUGGGAAACUACAGCUAAUACCGCAUAUUCUCCGUUUCAGCGGGCAGANAUUUUAGAGAUAAGCGGACAGGGAACGAUUGGGUAUUUAGCAUUAAUUUGUGUUGGAUACGGGAUUGGUUUUUUUGUCUUUGUUUAUUUUUUAGUCUCUGUCCUCUGAAGCGGAGGAAAG
rnacentral:rRNA from 1 species